rnacentral:lncRNA from 1 species
AUGUCACAAUGGGUGGACAGUGAGAUGAUGAUGGGGAGCUUGGGAUUCUGGACAGAGAAGCCCAAUCUGUGUUGGAUGACAUAUUGGGGCAUAGUGUGCACUAUGGGCUCUUCAAACUGCUACUGUCAGAACCCUUCAGACCCUAACAUUGGAGGGGGCAUCUGGGUUGAAACAACAAGAACUGAUCCAGCAUCGGAAUUUUUGGGAAAAGCCUCUGGAGCUUCAUUUGGAUUAUUGCAGUGAUUAACAUUACAGCAGAGCACAGAGGAUUGAAAUUCCUAAGUAUCACUUCUACAGAUCUGAAAAUUGAAGGAGCAGACUACUGGCAGUAAUAGUUACAAAUGGCAACUUGUAUUUUGUUUGGAAAACAACUUCUUUCCUUGAGGAAGUAUGUUUGUAUUGGUUUUCAUAGUGUUUGGUCUUUGAAGAGGUACUUGUGAUUUUAGGGAACACUAACUUUAUCUUCAAAUUAAAUGUAAUUUAAAUCUUUGAUAGCAUAUUUUCUAAGCUCUUUAAAUUAGAAAUAACUUUACCCUUAUGCCAAAGAAUCCAAGUAGUUCAAGGUUAAACAGUGUGUCAUGGUGAUGUCAGGGAUGCCUCAACUUUCCUCCUCCAAAAAACGUUUUAUUCCAUGGUUUCUUUUCCUACUUCAAUAGAAAAAUAUUGACAUAAAUUAAAAGUGAACACUGAC